rnacentral:tRNA from 1 species
GGGGAUGUAACUUAGUGGUAGAGCCCUUGCCUGGCAUGCAUGUAAUCCUGGGUUUGAUCCCCAGAACCACCA